CCGGGGCUCGGCGCUCCGGCUCCCAGGCGGCUGGCGGCGCGGGGCGCGGGAGCGCGGAGGAGCAGCGACUCUCUGCAGCGGCAGUGGCGACACGGUGGUGGCGGUGGCGCCGGAAACGCCCGCCGGCAGGAGAGCUCCGCCGCUGGCUCCCCCUGCUCUGCUCUGCCGCCCGCCCUUCCAAGGACCGACCUGCUGCCUGGGCCGGAAACUGACCAGCUCCCCCGGCUCCCCGGGUUCCCCGGCUCCGGCUCAGACCCACCAGAGCCUCCGCACCCUGCUCCUCCCUGCGCGGCGCGCCGCCGUCCCCCACGCCGCGUGCCAGCUGCACCCUCCAAACCCCUGCCCCAGUCCCCCGGGCCACCGUGUCCCAGAGGCCUGGAAGGCUCAGCUGAGGCCCGAGGGCGUGGAGUCCCGGGAGCCCGAGCCAGCCCGAGGCGUGGGGAAGGGGCGUUAGGAAGCCCGGACGUGGGAGUCUGGGGAAGGGGCUCCACCCUCCGCGGGCGGGGGCGUUCUUGAGCCCGGGAGCCGCAGACGGGCAGAGCUUCUUCCCGAAGCCGCGAGGGAAGAAGGACCCCUCCAUCGCCAGCCCCCAGCGUCCCCGUGCAGCCUGCUGGCCUGGGUCUACCCCUCGCACGCAGACGUGUGUGCACUGCACGCGGGGCUCGAGAACUUUCCCCGCAAGCCCGGGGCGCCCUCACCCCACGCUCGCCCCACGUCGCAGCCUUUCGCGACUCCCUUUGCGAGCUGGUCAACCCUCCCCGGCGCGGGAAGAGGGCCGCGGGGCCGGACGCCCUGACCGCCUCCUGCGAGGCCGGCGAACAUGUCCGGAUUGCGCCGAGGGUGGAGGCGAGAGCUCGCGCUCCACCCCGGUGGAGCCGCCCCGAGACCACCCGGGCCGGGGCUCCGCUCCAUUCUGCGCGACCCGAGCGCGACGGCGGGCUGGGCUCCGAGCUGCUCUCCCCAGGCAGCUGACAGCUCCCCGCUGCCGAGCCCCCAGCCGGGAAGGGGGCGACUGAUCCAUCUGUCGAUGGGCCGGGCCCACCGGCGUGCUUUAGUCACGGAAUUCACAGUAAACGCCCAGAAACACCAAAAAGGAAGCUUCUCACUGGGAAACGACUGAAGGAGAGGUACUGUGUCCUCCAGACUGCCUGCAAGGGCCCGUCCACGGCUCCUGAGCCCACCAGCAGAGGAGACUCCAGCCCACCAAAGACGCCCCCUCCUCAGCACAGAUCCAGGAGGUGGAAGAUGGGGUUCCCUUGCCCUGGAGAUAAAAACCAACCAGAAUUCAAAGAAAAAGACAGGGCCAGCUAAGACAUGUUGAGAACCACAGGCUAGCAAGCAGAGGUGCUCUCAGCCAUGGGACAGCAGCUGGCCAGGGGCCUCCCACUAUCAAUCAGCACAAACCUAUUGGAACCCUUCUUUGGGCCCAACACAGUGCCGAGAGCCAUGGGGAAGACGGCCCUGGGCAGGACCGCCCCUGCCAUGGAAUCAUCUGCAGAUGGAGUUAGCCAUACCCGUGAGAAGUGUGGCAACGCACAAGGGCCAAGGGAGAGAAAGGAAAUAGGACUGCCCGACUUCAGGACUUGCAGGGAGGUAGGAUCUAAGCUGGACCUGGGAAGAUGGGUUGAAUUUGGCUAAAAAGGGCACUGGGGAAGGGGGCAGAGAGUAGGCAAAAGCACAGUGGUAAGAAAACUUGGAGAAACAGCCCACGAGUUGGAAGGAGGGUACCAGGAGCACAGGAGGGAGUGGCCAGUGGGAGGAGAUCCAAAGGCAUGAUUGGGAGGCACAGUGGAGGCCCAAGUAUUGAAGGCUCGGACUUGCUUCCCUGGGAGCUACUGAAGGUUUCGGAGCAGGUGAGUGAUAUAACAGGAGUGGAGCUUUCGUAAGAUUGCUCUGACACCUCUGUGAAGGAUGGAAACAAGAUAAGUCAGGAGGCAAUGUUAACAGUCUUGGCCCGAGGUCAUGAGGGCCCAAAGCAGGAAGAGGCGGUAGUGAGUAGAGGCAGGAAGAGUGUUGGGCAUGGAGAGCUGGUGGCAGGUAUGGACAGGAAGAGGGGGGUGGGCAUGGAGAGCAGGUGGCAGGUAUGGACAGGAAGAGGGGGUGGGCAUGGACAGGAAGUAGUCAUUGUCAGAGGCAUUUAAAGAGGAGUCGGAAAGAUGUUGGUGAUGGAAUCAACACAGGGCACAGGAAGGAGGAAAAUGCCUUUUACUCAGAUAGUAGCCAGGCCAGGGAAAGUAACCAGCCCUGACUUCUCAGGCUUUGUCCUUAGAAAGAAUAAUUGAAGAAGCCAAUUGUAUGGUAAGAUACAUAUUGAUAGUCCUUUAAUUCUUAACAAUAAUUCUAUGCAGUAGGUACUGUAAAUCACUCUUUACAAAUGAGAAAACUGAGGCCGGAACAUCGUAUUUUAAGUGACAGAACCAGGAUUUGGACUCUGAAAGCUGGGAUGCAGGGUAACUCUGUAACCUCUGUGCCCAAAAUAAAUAAGCACUAUGACAGCUCCCCAGGCUGAACAUUUUCCUGUCCUGAUUCAGAACGUCUUAAAUACUCCAUUUCUCCAUCCAGCAACAGUGUGAAGCACUCAUGAGAAUGAAAUUUCUCUUGCACCUUUCCUACGGGUUUUAUCUGGCUAAUCCUUGGAAUCCAAGUCUAGAGCCUAGAAAGGAUCCUGUCUAGCCCGGUG